UUUACGACUAACCAUGUUUCUAGGGAGAAAACGGUUCCAGGGAGGGGUGGAGUGGAGGUCACCGAGUGAUAUUCUGUCACCAAUGGCAACUAUAAAACACAAGGAAAUACAGUUUGCGGCAAAAGCUAAGUGGGCGAUUCUAAAAAACAAAAUUGUACUUACUUCUGCAGCAGGGGAGAACGAAAUGUGUGCAAAUAAGAGCCUGAGGGCUAGUGUGUGCAAUCAGCUGCUGCUUACGUAAGAGCAUCUCCUGAAUGCUGUUUGACAAAGACUGACAUUUGUGGUCUCAAUAACGCACCACUGAUGCCUUCGAGCAGACAGCGCUUAACUUUUAACUUAACUCAGCCAGUUUACUUUCUUAGGUCAAGUCGAUUAGAAGAGAGUGAGGGGAAAAAACAAGCAUUGAACAGAUUUUGUUUUUCUUUUUAAAAUCGUGACUCAUUUUCUAAAACCACUACAUGGUGGUACGCCGGCACACUGCAAUGAAAUUAUAUACAGGCGCAAAUUAAAUACUACUACCUUUAGAGUGUUUUUUUAAAAAUUCAUUUUCAGAUAUAACCAUCUCAAUGAAAAUGAAUUAACACUUCAAUGUUUCUGUCUGUGUAGAAUGAAUACAUGCAUUACACUAGUUUCACUACUCGAAUAGUACUGUGUUACUGAACUAAAUCAACGUUUUCAUGACAUUGACACGUUUUGAUGAGCACCUGUACAUUUAACUCAUUCAUGUUGCCUUGAGAUAAAAUUGUCUCGAACUCUGAGCUUUUGCAGAUACAAACCAUAGUCAGGCCAACCUUUUGCUUUGGAUCGCGAGCAAAAAUGUGUCUUUAUGAACAAUAUAAAAGUGGCAGUGAAUUCAGCUCAACACCAUUGAAGAUAAGCAGAGAGUAAAAAAAAAUCUUCAAAACAGAAGCUUCAGACUGCUCAUUUGCACUUGGGAGAAAUAGCAAAACAAAAUCAUAAUAAAACACAAUGAAUUUCAUGAUGUGUAUUUAAAACAACCACCAUUUCGGGUUUUUUUUACUUUUCGCCACGCUUGUUACCUCCCUAACAGCGUCUCGGUUGGUUUAUGAUCGCCGAUCGUUGUUAUUGAUUCAACAACACGUCGGAGAUUCGGCCGCGUUUUGGCAAGACAGUGGUGAAAAGACGCUACCUCCGUUCUUGGCUAACCUGCCGGCUGAUCUCUUCCGCGUUCGCUCACUCCCUUCACGGAAGCGCCGCCGCCGCCGCAGCCGCGGCAAACGCAGUGGUCAGCUUGUGAAGCUGAAACGGAAUCUGAGACAAACUUCGAUCGCUCAGGCGUGGUGUGCCCUCGACUCCGUCGCCUCGUGCUUGCUAACGGUCGUUGGCUCUCCCAACGCGCCACGGCAUUUUUUCCCUGUUUCAGUGUUUCAGUCAUUCUGGAAUGACCUCCCACUGAACAUUCGGCAAGCCUCCUCGCUGCCCAUCUUUAAAGCCCUCUUCAAAACUCACUUGUAUUCUUUGGCAUUCGACUCAGCAUGACUUAGAUUUGUUCUUGAUUUUACUGCUUGGUGCUUUCCACCACCUUUAUUACCGAUUCGUCUUACUGUUUAUUGUGUAUGUUAAAUCGCUCCAUGUACAGCACUUUGUAUGCAGCGAUGGCUGUUCGAAAGUGCUCUAUAAAUACAUUUGACUUGACUUGACUUGACAUAGCUUACCCUCUGGAAAGUCUGUUUCGCUUAAUGCUACAAAUCGUGCAAAACUUCGUAGACAGGCUGACCAAUAUAUAAAAUAAUACUCACAAGCAUGUAUUUAUCAUUUUGUGAAAAAUAAUGUAUCUUACUCCAAGUUACCGAGUCAGUAGUGAAACCUUUGCUUGGUUUGGAAUGUGGGUCUGGUACGGAUUAAUGGCUUCCUCAUUAAUUUCAAUGGGGAAAGAUUAUUUGAAACAUAGGUGUUUUGACUUCCGUGAACAGUCAUGGAAUACAGUCAGCUCGUAUCAAGGCACCAGUGUAUGUUUGAUAUUAUGGUUGGAGACUGUGGC